rnacentral:rRNA from 1 species
GACGUAGGAUGCAAGCGUUGUCCGGAUUUAUUGGGCGUAAAGAGUUCGUAGGUGGUUCGUUAAGUCUGGUGUAAAAGACUGGGGCUCAACCCUGGGAUCGCACUGGAUACUGGCGGACUGGAGUGUGGUAGAGGCAAGUGGAAUUCCCAGUGUAGCGGUGAAAUGCGUAGAUAUUGGGAAGAACACCGGUGGCGCAAGCGACUUGCUGGGCCAUAACUGACACUGAGGAACGAAAGCUAGGGGAGCGAAUGGG